AAAAUCUUGGAGAUCCUGUUGCUGUCGCCCAUCGGGCUGUUGGAAGCUGGGGUUAGUCCAGAAGUCUUCAGAAGCCACCUACAUUCCUUGAUGUGUGGCCCCUCCAUCUUCAAGUGAGCAAUGGUGUUUUGAAUCCUCCUCAUGCCUCAUGUCUUUGACUUCCUCUUCUGUGACCAACCAGGGAAAACUCACUGCUUUAAAAGGGCUCUCAGGAUUAAAUCAGGAACAAAAGGAGAUGCCCUGAAAAGCAAGUCUCUCUCCCACCUCUGACCCCCAGCCACACACCCUCUCCCCGCUGAGGCGUUUCCUGUACUCAAAGAGAUGGGGUUUCGCCAUGUGGACAAGGCUGGUCUUGAACUCCUGGGCUCAAGCAAUCCACCUGCCUUGGCUUCCCAAAAAGAUUACAGGCAUGAGCUACCGC